AUCCACUUGAAAGGCAUAAUUAAUGAUACCAUUUAUGGGUAAGCCACUUAAGGUUCUGUGGUUAUAAGAUUUGCAGGUAAUUUCUAUGUUAUAUGUUCUAGUGUUGGUAUUGAAUUUGCUUUAAUUUUAUUUCCCAAGAUGUGACAGCAACUAAAAGAAAUGAAUUUGAGGAUUAUUUUUUGAAGCGAGAGUUGCUCAUGGGAAUAUAUGAGAAGGGUUUUGAAAGGCCUUCUCCUAUCCAAGAAGAAAGCAUUCCAAUUGCUCUUACUAGUAGUGACAUUCUUGUAAGGGCUAAAAAUGGGACAGGCAAAACAGCUGCAUUUUGUAUUCCUGCAUUGGAAAAAAUUGACCAGAAACAAUCUAUCCUGGCAGAGUCCAAAUUGUAUUGCUCUCACGCCUAUGGAACAAUUUUGUUAAUAGUGUCUAUUUAGUGUUAGUGUAUAUAUCACUGUAUAAAACUAAGAUUGAGACAAGUGUAUUCACUCAACUAUAUUGAUAUGUUAGCUGGUUACUUUAAUCACAAC